rnacentral:rRNA from 1 species
UACGAAGGGGGCUAGCGUUGCUCGGAAUCACUGGGCGUAAAGGGUGCGUAGGCGGGUCUUUAAGUCAAGGGUGAAAUCCUGGAGCUCAACUCCAGAACUGCCUUUGAUACUGAAGAUCUUGAGUUCGGGAGAGGUGAGUGGAACUGCGAGUGUAGAGGUGAAAUUCGUAGAUAUUCGCAAGAACACCAGUGGCGAAGGCGGCUCACUGGCCCGAUACUGACGCUGAGGCACGAAAGCGUGGGGAGCAAACAGGG